UAAUAAGUGUUUUAUGGCACUUUUUAAAUCCAUAUCCACCUUGUGUGCAAUGUCAGUCGAUCUUCUUCAUGGAGAUCGACCAAACAUCAACCUUAUCUUUUAACUCUUUGUCUUAAAAAUAUUAUGAAUAAACAAUUCAAAUA
rnacentral:misc_RNA from 1 species